UGAGGAAUUUUGCGCAAUGGCCGCAAGGCUGACGCAGCAACGCCGCGUGGGUGAUGAAGGCCUUCGGGUCGUAAAGCCCUGUCAGGUGGGAAGAAAGGCCUGGAGCGGAAAGGCUUCAGGUUUGACGGUACCACCCGAGGAAGCACCGGCUAACUCCGUGCCCGCAGCCGCGGUAAUAUGGAGGGUGCGAGCGUUAUUCGGAAUUACUGGGCGUAAAGCGCGUGUAGGCGGGGAGACAAGUCUGAUGUGAAAGCCCUGGGCUUAACCUGGGAAGCGCAUUGGAAACUGUUUUUCUUGAGUACUGGAGAGGAAGGGGGAAUUCCCGGUGUAGAGGUGAAAUUCGUAGAGAUCGGGAGGAAUACCAGUGGCGUAGGCGCCCUUCUGGACGGUAACUGACGCUGAGACGCGAAAGCGUGGGGAGCAAACAG
rnacentral:rRNA from 1 species